AUUGAACGCUGGCGGCAGGUCUAACACAUGUAAGUCGAGCGGAGCGGCGGAUGGGUGAGUAAUGCCUAGGAAUCUGCCUGGUAGUGGGGGAUAACGUACGGAAACGGGCGCUAAUACCGCAUACUAACAGAUGAGCUUAGGUCGGAUUAGCUAGUUGGUGGGGUAAAGUCCUACCAAGGCGACGAUCCGUAACUGGUCUGAGAGGAUGAUCAAUCACACUGGAACUGAGACACGGUCCGGACUCCUUCGGGCGGCAGCAGUGGGGAAUAUUGGACAAUGGGCGAAAGCCUGAUCCAGCCAUGCCGCGUGUGUGAAUAAGUUCUUCGGAUUGUAAAGCACUUUAAGUUGGGAGGCGUUACCAACAGAAUGAGCACCGGCUAACUUCGUGCCAGCAGCCGCGGUAAUUC
rnacentral:rRNA from 1 species